AUCAAAAUACACAAAGACACAAGCCAGGUCCCCACCAUGCUUGGUGAUGCAUCCAGAGCAGCCUCGGUGCUGUGGACACUCCCUGGGGCCCAGUGAAGGGGAGAGUUUGCUCCCAAAGGCACAUCAAUGACCAACAUUUGCCCCCCGGAGGAAAGAACUGGAACCAGCCUCUGACCUGUCCAGGUGCCCUGUCCAGCUGACUGCAAAGACAGAGAGGAGUCCUGCCCAGCUCUUGGAUCAGUCUGCUUGGCCAAGGAGCCCAGUGGAGCCGGGGGUGACCCUGGAGCCCAGCCUGCCCCGAGGAGGCCCUGGCUCAGAGCCAUGCCAGCACAAGGUGGGCGGAACACCCAAAGCCUGGCCACUACUGGGGGAAGACGUGCCACGUGUCCCCAUGGGACUCGUGGGCAGACAUGGUGUGACUGCCAAGCCACACAGAGGCCUUAUUUCUUCCUGCACCACGGACCACUGCGGAGGUGGUGGGGCCAGGCACCCUGGCACAGCUGACCCACUGUGUCCUCUCUCUUCAGGGUCAAGGCCAACCUGUCAGAGGUGCUUGUGUCCAGUGUCCUGGGGGUCAACGUGACCAGCGCUGAGGUCUAUGGAGCCUUCACCUGCUCCAUCCAGAAUGUCAGCUCCUCCUCCUUCACUCUUCAGAGAGCUGGCCCUACAAGCCACGUGGCUGCGGUGCUGGCCUCCCUCCUGGUCCUGCUGGCCCUGCUGCUGGCCGCCCUGCUCUAUGUCAAGUGCCGUCUCAACGUGCUGCUCUGGUACCAGGACGCGUAUGGGGAGGUGGAGAUGAACGACGGGAAGCUCUACGACGCCUACGUCUCCUACAGCGACUGCCCCGAGGACCGCAAGUUCGUGAACUUCAUCCUGAAGCCGCAGCUGGAGCGCCGUCGGGGCUACAAGCUUUUCCUGG
rnacentral:sRNA from 1 species